rnacentral:rRNA from 1 species
UACGGAGGGUGCAAGCGCUGUCCGGAUUUAUUGGUUUAAAGGGUGCGUAGGCGGCCGAUUAAGUCUGGGGUGAAAGCCCGUUGCUCAACAACGGAACUGCCCUGGAAACUGGUCGGCUUGAGUACAGACGAGGGUGGCGGAAUGGAUGGUGUAGCGGUGAAAUGCAUAGAUACCAUCCAGAACCCCCGAUUGCGAAGGCAGCUGCCUAGACCUGUAACU